rnacentral:rRNA from 1 species
AUUGAACGCUGGCGGCAGGCCUAACACAUGCAAGUCGAACGAGGGGCGGGGGGGUGAGAUAUGUCUGGAAAAGUGCGUGAUGGAGGGGGAGCAAUACUGGAAACUGUAGCUAACACCGCAAACCAUCGUAUGUGCCCAGAGGGGAUUAGCUAGUAGGUGGGGUAAAGGCUCACCGAGGCGACGAUCCCUAGCUGGUCUGAGAGGAUGACCAGCCACACUGUAACUGAGACACGGUCCAGACUCCUACGGGAGGCAGCAGUGGGGAAUAUGGCACAAUGGGCGCAAGCCUGAUGCAGCCAUGCCGCGUGUGUGAAGAAGGCCUUCGGGUUGUAAAGUACUUUCAGCGGGGAGGCGUUACCCGCAGAAGAAGCACCGGCUAACUCCGUGCCAGCCGCCGCGGUAAUUC